rnacentral:rRNA from 1 species
GGACCAAGGAGUCUAGCAUGUGCGCGAGUCAUUGGGAUUUGCGAAACCUAAAGGCGUAAUGAAAGUGAAGGCCCGCCUCGCGCGGACCGAGGGAGGAUGGGCCGUCUCACGGGACGGCCCCGCACUCCCGGGGCGUCUCGUUCUCAUUGCGAGAAGAGGCGCACCCAGAGCGUACACGCUGGGACCCGAAAGAUGGUGAACUAUGCCUGGUCAGGACGAAGUCAGGGGAAACCCUGAUGGAGGUCCGUAGCGAUUCUGACGUGCAAAUCGAUCGUCGGAACUGGGUAUAGGGGCGAAAGACUAAUCGAACCAUCUAGUAGCUGGUUCCCUCCGAAGUUUCCCUCAGGAUAGCUGGCGCUCGCUUUGCGAGUCUCAUCCGGUAAAGCGAAUGAUUAGAGGCAUUGGGGUCGAAACGGCCUCAACCUAUUCUCAAACUUUAAAUGGGUGAGAUCUCCGGCUUGCUCGAACUUGAAGCCGCGAGAUUUACACAAGGAUCAGAGUGCCAAGUGGGCCACUUUUGGUAAGCAGAACUGGCGCUGUGGGAUGAACCAAACGCAGAGUUAAAGCGCCUAAAUCGACGCUUAUGGGAUACCAUGAAAGGCGUU